AGAUCUCCUAGCGGUGGAUCACUCGGCUCGAACGUCGAUGAAGAACGCAGCG
rnacentral:rRNA from 1 species